GCUGGAAUGAAUGGAUAUACGAGGUUUUUACUGUCUCGAUCUCAGGAAUAAAAAUUGGUUUUCAGGUGAAGAAACCUGAAUUUUAAUGAAGGACAAAAAGACCCUAUUGAGCUUUACUUUUAUAAAAAUAUUUGUUAGAAUUAUUUUAUUUAUUUAUUUUUUAAAAGUUUGGUUGGGGCAACAAAGAAAUAUAUAAAUUUUUCUUUAUUUAUUAGAACUAUAGUUCGUUUUAAGUGAUCUAUUAGGAUGAUAAGGAGAAAGAGUUACCAUAGGGAUAACAGGCUAAUUCUUUUGUAGAGUUCAAAUUGAUAAAAGAGUUUGGCACCUCGAUGUUGGCUUAGGGUAUCCUUUAGGUGUAGAAGUCUAUAAGGGUUGGUUUGUUCAACCAUUAAAAUCC
rnacentral:rRNA from 1 species